rnacentral:rRNA from 1 species
UGUCAUGCUUUUACAGUAUGAAAAUUGGUGAUUUAUAAUAACUUAGCAAAUCGCAAAGUGAAAACAGGCGAUAAAUCAUUCAAGUUUCUGACCUAUCAGCUUUCGACGGUAUGGUAUUGGCUUACCGUGGCAGUGACGGUUAACGGGGGAUUAGGGUUCGAUUCCGGAGAGGGAGCCUGAGAAACGGCUACCACAUCUAAGGAAGGCAGCAGGCGCGCAAAUUACCCAAUUCUAACAGUUUGAGAGAGGUAGUAACAAGAAAUAACAAUACAAGGCAGUUAAAAUGCUUUGUAAUUGGAAUGAUAGAAAUUUAAACCCUUUUUAAAGUAUCAAUUGGAGGGCAAGUCUGGUGCCAGCAGCCGCGGUAAUUCCAGCUCCAAUAGCGUAUAUUAAAAUUGUUGCAGUUAAAAAGCUCGUAGUUGAAGUUCUGCUAAAAGUAACCGGUCUGCUUUGAAUAAAAGUGGUAUCUUGGUAUGUAUUUAGCAAUGAUGUCCUUUGAAGUGUUUUUUACUUUAUUGUAAUAAAGCAUAUUCAGGACUUUUACUUUGAGAAAAUUAGAGUGUUUCUAGCAGGCCAACGCUUUGAAUACUGCAGC